GUCCCAUUUUAAAUUUGAAUCUAAGACGUUUAUCCAAGAAGAAGAUGUUGUUGUUGUGGGGGAUUCAAAUUCAAAAUUUGGAAUAGUUGUAGCUGACGUUUGAACAGGUUGAUACAAAGCAAUUGCAGCUGCUAUGAUUUUGAAUUUAUAAAAUAGCCAAAUUAAAACAACUGUAUUUAUUGAUGUGAUAAUUAUAGAGACUAAGGACAAUAUGUCAUUUGUAGUUGGCCAUUGUUGAAAGUCGAGAUCUAUUUGUCC
rnacentral:lncRNA from 1 species